ensembl:snRNA U6 U6 spliceosomal RNA
GUGCUCGCUUCGGCAGCACAUGUACUAAAGUUGGGACAAUAGAGAGAAGAUUAGCAUGGCCCCUGCACAUAAGCAGAAGUCCGAGUAUCUUAGAGGAAACAGAAAUAGCA